GGGCUUCGGCUCUCGCUAUUGGAUGGGCCUGCGUGAGAUUAGCUAGUUGGUGAGGUAAUGGCUCACCAAGGCGACGAUCUCUAGCUGGUCUGAGAGGAUGAUCAGCCACACUGGGACUGAGACACGGCCCAGACUCCUACGGGAGGCAGCAGUGGGGAAUAUUGCACAAUGGGCGCAAGCCUGAUGCAGCCAUGCCGCGUGUGUGAAGAAGGCUUUCGGGUUGUAAAGCACUUUCAGUGGGGAGGAAGGCCUCGUAGUUAAUAGCUGCGAGGAUUGACGUUACCCACAGAAGAAGCACCGGCUAACUCCGUG
rnacentral:rRNA from 1 species